AUUGAACGCUGGCGGUAUGCUUAAGACAUGCAAGUCGAACGGUAACAGGUUAAGCUGACGAGUGGCGGACGGGUGAGUAACACGUGGGAAUCUGCCCAGUAGCGGGGGAUAAGCCAGGGAAACUUGGACUAAUACCGCAUACGCCCUAAGGGGGAAAGCCGCAAGGCACUAUGUGGAUGAGCCCGCGUCUGAUUAGCUAGUUGGUGAGGUAAGAGCUCACCAAGGCGACGAUCAGUAGCUGUCUGAGAGGAUGACCAGCCACAUUGGGACUGAGACACGGCCCAGACUCCUACGGGAGGAAGCAGUCGGGAAUAUAGGACAAUGGGGGCAACCCUGAUCCAGCAAUACCGCGUGUGUGAAGAAGGCCUGCGGGUUGUAAAGCACUUUUAGUGGGGAAGAUAAUGACGUUACCCACAGAAACAGCACCGGCUAACUCCGUGCCAGCCGCCGCGGUAAUAC
rnacentral:rRNA from 1 species